GCGGGGAUGGCUCAGAACGGUGACGGCGGCCGGCUUAUGACCGGCUGUUCCGACAGGAACACGCGGGUUCGAAUCCCGCUCCCCGCG
rnacentral:tRNA from 1 species